rnacentral:rRNA from 1 species
GCAGUCGCCGCGGUAAUACGUAGGGUGCAAGCGUUAAUCGGAAUUACUGGGCGUAAAGCGUGCGCAGGCGGUUAUAUAAGACAGAUGUGAAAUCCCCGGGCUCAACCUGGGAACUGCAUUUGUGACUGUAUAGCUAGAGUACGGCAGAGGGGGAUGGAAUUCCGCGUGUAGCAGUGAAAUGCUUAGAUAUGCGGAGGAACACCGAUGGCGAAGGCAAUCCCCUGGGCCUGUACUGACGCUCAUGCACGAAAGCGUGGGGAGCAAACAGGAUUAGAUACCCGGGUAGUCCUGUCUCUUAUACA